AACGAACGCUGGCGGCAGGCCUAACACAUGCAAGUCGAGCGAGGACUUCGGUUCUAGCGGCGGACGGGUGAGUAACGCGUGGGAAUGUGCCCUUCUCUACGGAAUAGCCCUGGGAAACUGGGAGUAAUACCGUAUACGCCCUAUUGGGGAAAGAUUUAUCGGAGAAGGAUCAGCCCGCGUUGGAUUAGGUAGUUGGUGGGGUAAUGGCCUACCAAGCCGACGAUCCAUAGCUGGUUUGAGAGGAUGAUCAGCCACACUGGGACUGAGACACGGCCCAGACUCCUACGGGAGGCAGCAGUGGGGAAUCUUAGACAAUGGGGGCAACCCUGAUCGAGCCAUGCCGGGUGAGUGAUGAAGGCCUUAGGGUUGUAAAGCUCUUUCAGCUGGGAAGAUAAUGACGGUACCAGCAGAAGAAGCCCCGGCUAACUCCGUG
rnacentral:rRNA from 1 species